UACGUAGGUGGCAAGCGUUGUCCGGAUUUAUUGGGCGUAAAGGGAGCGCAGGCGGUGAUUUAAGUCUGAUGUGAAAGCCCACGGCUCAACCGUGGAAUGGCAUUGGAAACUGGGUCACUUGAGUGCAGAAGAGGAAAGCGGAAUUCCAUGUGUAGUGGUGAAAUACGUAGAGAUAUGGAAGAACACCAGUGGCGAAGGCGGCUUUCUGGUCUGAAAUUGACGCUGAUGCACGAAGGUGUGGGUAUCAAACAGG
rnacentral:rRNA from 1 species